CCUACGGGGCGCAGCAGUAAGGGAUAUUGGUCAAUGGGGGAAACCCUGAACCAGCAACGCCGCGUGAGGGAAGACGGUUUUCGGAUUGUAAACCUCUGUCUUUGGGGAAGAAAAUGACGGUACCCAAAGAGGAAGCUCCGGCUAACUACGUGCCAGCAGCCGCGGUAAUACGUAGGGAGCGAGCGUUGUCCGGAAUUACUGGGUGUAAAGGGAGCGUAGGCGGGCGAGAAAGUUGAAUGUUAAAUCUACCGGCUUAACUGGUAGCUGCGUUCAAAACUUCUUGUCUUGAGUGAAGUAGAGGCAAG
rnacentral:rRNA from 1 species